rnacentral:rRNA from 1 species
GAUGCGAAUCUCGAAAGCCUGUCUCGGUUCGGAUUGGAGGCUGAAACCCGCCUCCAUGAAGUUGGAUUCGCUAGUAAUCGCGCAUCAGCCAUGGCGCGGUGAAUGCGUUCCCGGGCCUUGUACACACCGCCCGUCAAGCCAUGGGAGCCGGGGGUGCCUGAAGUUCGUGACCGCAAGGAGCGACCUAGGGCAAAACUGGUGACUGGGGCUAAGUCGUAACAAGGUACC